CUUGAGCCUGGAAGGGGAGAGGAUUUAUGGAAUGGGGAGCGUGAGGCACCAGCUCAGCACAUACCAGACUGGUGAUGGAUUUUGACUGGAGUAAUCUUGGCACCAGUCUCCUCCUUUGGGAAAUGCCCCUAUGAAUGGGCCAGAAGGAGUUGAUGACAUUGCUCUGCCCAGAGGCUGCUGCAGCAGGGGAAGUCUGUGAUUAGACUUCAACAGGCUUUGGAUGGAGUCUGUCCUAAGGAGACGGUGUCAACUUGCUGCUAUUUCCUGAAAAUCAGCCUGGCCUGGAGCAGGGAUCACAUCCAGAGGGCUCUAAUCAGUCCUUCUGGCCUGUUAGUGGGACCCAGCCCCUGAGCUCUGUGUUUGCAGGGGAUACCAAAGGCCCACGUAAGGCCUGGACAAUUCCUUUUAUUUAUUUUAAGCGUUGCUUUGAGUAUGAGCCUGGUCAAAGUAGCGCCAGUGGUGGAAGAGCGAAGAACCUGAGCCUCUCCACAUGGAAUGUUACUUCAUUUUCCAGCUACUUCCUACUCAGGCAAAUAUUGUUUGCAGAUGGUGCAGUCACAAAACCAUCAUGUACCACUCUGUUAUUAUCCAGAUGGAUUUAUUGCUGCUGGGAAACCGUUCUGCUGUCUCGUUUUGGGAACAAGGUUCACACAUGGAAUGGUUCUGCUCAAGAUCCGUCCAGUGCCAAGAUGUAAAAACUCCACAUCCAUAACCCUGACAGACUGGUUUGCUGUUGCUUCCUUUAAAUCCCAGCCUGGGCUUGGCAGGAUGGACAGAAAGGCCUGGAGAUCUCGAGUCCUUUUGGGGUCAGACAGGGAGAGACUCCGUUCCUUAAAGGAACAGCAGAUGCCAUGGAGGACAGCUGCCUUGGUGUGAAGUCCUCUGUCCCAUCUCACCUCUCAGAGAUGGAAAAAUGCUCAGCAUUCCAGCAGGAAGGUGACCUGCUGAAGCUGCCUCUGACUUCUUUGCUCACCCACUGGCACGAGUUGUUUCAUCCGCUUGCCAAAAAAAACUUGGGAGAAACGAUAAAGGAUGUAAUGCCACGAGGCAGACCAGAGCCACCUGGGAAUCCUGGAAAAGGGCCUCUCCAUCCCGUGGUGUGAAUGAUGCCAACAUCUGGCUGUGACUUCCCUCGAAGACACCCAUUUUCAGGCUCCCAUCAGCCUGCCCUGGCAGCUGGGCAGGUCCAAACCACCACUCCACACCGAAACCAGCUGGGAAAACUCUCACAGAGCCCCGUACCACUCUCGGAGCUGGCAGCGGUGCCGGUUUUCCAGCAGGAAGCUCAUGGUAAUCCCCCCCUUCUUGCUUUAUCCAAACAAACCUGGUGUGCCACAUUCCUCCUGUCUGCUGCUCCAGGGGACAAGCAGUCCCAGGAAAGCCAGAGUGUGAGGUGGAGAGAAGAUAGGAGAGAGGGGAAAAGCUGGAGGAUCUUCUGCUUGGGGAAG